rnacentral:rRNA from 1 species
UYCCAAAAACCACUUMUCAGUUCAGAUCGGAGUMUGCAAMUCGACUCMGUGAAGCUGGAAUCGCUAGUAAUCGUAUAUCAGCAAUGAUACGGUGAAUACGUUCCCGGACCUUGCACACACCGCCCGUCAAGCCAUGGGAGCCGGGUGUACCUAAAGUCGGUAACCGCAAGGAUCUGCCUAGGGUAAAAUCGGUGACUGGGGCUAAGUCGUAACAAGGUAGCC